rnacentral:rRNA from 15 species
CUGGUUGAUCCUGCCA